rfam:Subdoligranulum sp. 4_3_54A2FAA genomic scaffold supercont1.1, whole genome shotgun sequence.
AGGGGUAUAGCUCAGUUGGUAGAGCAGCGGUCUCCAAAACCGCGUGCCGAGGGUUCAAAUCCUUCUGCCCCUG